rnacentral:tRNA from 1 species
AGUAGAGUCAGCUAAAUAAGCUUUCGGGCCCAUACCCCGAACAUGUUGGUUAAAGUCCUUCCUCUGCUA